CACGUAGGGUGCGAGCGUUGUCCGGAAUUAUUGGGCGUAAAGAGCUCGUAGGCGGUGUGUCGCGUCGGCCGUGAAAACCUGCAGCUUAACUGUGGGCUUGCGGUCGAUACGGGCAUCACUGGAGUUCGGCAGGGGAGACUGGAAUUCCUGGUGUAGCGGUGAAAUGCGCAGAUAUCAGGAGGAACACCGGUGGCGAAGGCGGGGUCUCUGGGCCGAUACUG
rnacentral:rRNA from 1 species